AACCAGAAAGUUGGCCUUGGUGCUUGGGAUGAAGAGUCCCAGAUUCCUCAAUUCCCUCAAAGCUCUAGGGGCAGUUUUUGUCUGGGCAUGCAAAAGAAUCAGUUACACUUCUAUUACCCAAAAUUAAUUCUCAUUCCCAUUUGAUCCCACAUGGAGGACCACUUGUCCAGGGUAGGGAAGUUUCAAAACUCCACUGAGAUGAAACAAUAGCACCUCUCCAGCUGCUAUUGUUCAGGAAACCUGGCUGCAGGCUCAAGGAGAAAACCUUGAAUCAAUUUGUCUCAUGGAGGCCCAUUGGGUUGGCGACUUGCCCUUCACAACUCGUUAAAAUGAACACUUAGACUCUGGGGGAUGGAGCUGAACCUGUGGGGUGAUCCUCACCCCAUGAUCCUCCUGGCUGAUUUUUUUUACGGAGUUGGGAGGUCUCCCCUCUCUCUAUGGCUCAGGUUCCAUCCCACUGAAUAUGGGUCUGGCCUAUGAAAUACAACAUCUGGGAUCUGCUCAGCCUAUCCACCUGCAUAUAAGUGAGCAGCUGGAUGCUCUACCAGGCUGUACUCGAUGAUCUAACAACACUGGACUUCUUUCUUCACACACAACUGGACAUGGACACACACCCCCUUCUGCUUCCAGACUUUUGUUUUGAUUGUCUCUCAUGCCUGGGACAUUCUCCUUCCUUAUUUAUGUCUCCUCCCCACAAUUUCUUCAAGAUCCAGUUCAAAUGAACACAUCCUCAUGAAGGCAAGUAUCAAUUUAUCUCUGCCCUUUACUCCUUAUCUCUAAACUCAUUCCUAU
rnacentral:lncRNA from 1 species